CAACCGUUCAGUUGCCGAAAAGGAAACUUCUGAAGGGCAGUUGACAAUUGUCACAUUCAAACAAUCAAAAGAAAUAGACCAAUAGAGACAGAUAGGGAAGUAAACAAACACAAAACAAUAGAAGGAUCAAUAGGAAGUACAAACGUGGAAGUUUAAAUAGAGAAAUUACGACAAUUGAACAUUGAAACUUAUUUAAAUUAACAAAUUAAACUUAUUAUAAAGUUAGAAAACGUUGCACAACAGUCCGACACAGAUAGCGAAAUACACAAAAAAGGACUAUAAAUCUUAAAGCAUUCUCCAACUUAACAACGAGUUUGCUCAAAAGAGUCCCGAAACGCUUGUGGUCACGACUGGGUCGCAACACACAUGCUUAUAAUCAUUACGUUUUUCUGUGAAACAAAGGUAUUUCUGGCACAAUUCCUCGGCAAAAUGAAACUUCCGUUUAGACAUUUAAAAAUCAACUUGGAAUAUCGAGACGAAACAACUCGGUAAAACGAAAACUCUGAAUGGAAACAGUUGGAAAAUCUCGUAAAAGAUCCAACUGAACUGACCUACACGCUUGCAUAUUUUUCAGUCGCCAACAAAACGUUACAGGAGGGUUGUGUCCGAGAAACGACCGCAUAUGACGGUAGAAUCACGUAUGAGCUAUGUUUAGAAAAUUUCAUCAUGAAACUCUUUGAUAAUAAUUGGAUGGCCCGGAAAGGGAGCGUUUAGUUUGAUUGGUAACAGAUGUCCGAGGGGAAUGAGAUGAGAAUUGGGGAGGCGCAAAUUGGACCAAUAAAAACGUUGUGUUUACCGCAGUAGAAAAUGAAACCAAACGCAUAAUUCAUUGUACAGUCUAGUAUUUGUAUUGAAUAAGAAACUGGAAGAGCACAAGUUGCUUGUGCUAAUUGACCAGUCAGAAAGCGGGAUAUUCGUGUAGAUAUUUUUCCAUUGUUCGAUAGCUAGUUCCAUGCAAUAUAUAUUUUUCUUCAUUGUAUUGUAUUGUAUUGCAGAUGACUGAGCAAUAACAAUUUUUCGUUUUACAAUUUGUACACCAAUUCUCGAAAGACGUAAUCCUACGUCAAAAAGUUUUUACUCAAAAACAAAAUACAAAAAAAAAUUAAUUAAUUACGAUUCAUCAACAAAAUGCAAUUUCUCAUAAAAAUCAGGAUAAAUGCUAAAAUAUGAAAAAUAAAUCAGGACGCCCUAAAAGCAUCUAGAAAUCUGGAUAUUCCUGCUGUAUCAGGAGAGAUGGUAUUCCUACUCAUAAAUAAGAACAGAAUUCUAGUCUUUCCAGCGAACAGUCAACGACCUUC